UUAUAUAAUAAGACCAUGAAUCUUUUACAAGUCUACUCACUCAUAAGAGUGACACAUAUGCAUUUGGAGUCGUACUCUUGGAGCUUUUGAUAGGGGGUUUUGUUUACACAUUGCCUUGAAGAGGUCAAAUGAUUAGAUUAUCAAGGAGGGUUGAAUAGGUCAUACUGUUCAAAACGGUUCCAAAGUUGCUCAAAUUGGUAUUCAAAUGCAUGAAUUUUUCUAUAAUUUCUAUUGACUGUUUUUCAACUAAUUGACUUAUGUCAUUAUAUUUUUGUUUUGUUGGGCCUUUAAUAAGGUUGUUUUUUUACCAUGAAAUACAAUCAAACAACCUAUUUUUCUUUCCCAAGGUUGGACAGGCAAGUUAUUUUUCUUAGGGGUAUUGUGUUAUCUUUUAGCCAUGCAUGUUAAACGUGGCCCAUUAAGCUUUUAUAUUAAUAUACUUUCGUAUCACCGGAUGGCACAAGAAAGGAUUCAUGUUAUUUGUGCAUUAGUUUAUGAGAAAAUACCAACAUGCCAUACCCACAAAGAAAAAUGUUCAACUUGGAUGAAGCAUGAAUUUGUCUAGUGACAAAUUGAGUAAAGUUCGUAUCGGUGAAGGGAUUCACUGAACAUCAAAAAUGGAAAGCAUACUUUCUUGGUCAAGAGAUAGAGCUAUCAGCUACUUGAAUUCGUUGGAAAAGGGAUGGAUCACAUUGAUGCGAUGCAUAGUGAUUAUUGUGGUUGUAAUUUUCAAUCAUUGAUAUGAAUAUGGAGUUUAUUUUAAGGGCAGUGAAGGAGGUGUUACGAAGAAAGACAAAAAGAAACCGGUCCAAUUCCUGUUUUAUCUUUUGUUGACAUAGUGUGAAAAACAUAGACUGAUUUUGGAUAUAAGUGGAGAAAGGACCUUUGAGUAUGGAAGUUGAAGGUUAGUAUCUGGAUAUAUGUUGCGAAUCAGUUUGUGUGAUCUUUGAUCGGUUUAUGUACAUGGGUGGUUUUUAUAAUCACAAGAACUCUAGAGUGUCUCUUUCUUCAUAUAUACAGUAAGGCCUUUUUUAUUA